rnacentral:rRNA from 1 species
UACGAAGGGGGCUAGCGUUGUUCGGAAUUACUGGGCGUAAAGCGCGCGCAGGCGGUCUUCCAAGUCAGUGGUGAAAGCCCGGAGCUCAACUCCGGAACUGCCAUUGAAACUGUGAGACUUGAGGAUGAGAGAGGUGAGUGGAAUUCCCAGUGUAGAGGUGAAAUUCGUAGAUAUUGGGAAGAACACCGGUGGCGAAGGCGGCUCACUGGCUCAUUUCUGACGCUCAGGCGCGACAGCGUGGGGAUCAAACAGG